GAUGAACGCUAGCGACAGGCUUAACACAUGCAAGUCGAGGGGCAGCAUAAGGUAGCAAUACUGAGAUGGCGACCGGCGCACGGGUGAGUAACGCGUAUGCAACCUACCUAUCAGAGGGGAAUAACCCGGCGAAAGUCGGACUAAUACCGCAUAAAACAGGGGUCCCGCAUGGGAAUAUUUGUUAAAGAUUUAUUGCUGAUAGAUGGGCAUGCGUUCCAUUAGAUAGUUGGUGAGGUAACGGCUCACCAAGUCUGCGAUGGAUAGGGGUUCUGAGAGGAACGGUCCCCCANACUGGUACUGAGACACGGACCAGACUCCUACGGGAGGCAGCAGUGAGGAAUAUUGG
rnacentral:rRNA from 1 species